GAGGAUCCUGGUGUUAAGAAAUUAAGAGGCUGGUUCUCAAAAGUUUGUUCAUGUCCAGUUUGCGCUUAUAACUUCUUUGCUUGGUCUUACUUCUAUCAAAUUUCAAGAGGUCGCGGAAGGUAAAUCGAAAUUCCAGCAGUCAUUAGUCAGUCCAUCCUGUGCUGCCUCAUUUCGCCUAACAUAUUGACAGCCUUGUCAAAUUUCACCAAACGCCCCUAGCUGCUCGAUUAAUUUGUUAUAGCUUCAGCAGUUAUACAAUCAAAAGAACCACUUUCUUAAUAUGCAAUCAGUUUCAGUUCAUCUCAUUUUUUAUUUUUAUUUUUUGUGUUAAAUCUUGAGUUUUGUUUAUGAGUGCCUAGACUCAUAUGUUUGAUAGCCAUGUUUUAGUCCAACACACCAUAUAACAGGGUUGGUUUUAUGUUAAUAAAUUUUUAUUAUUUAUUUUAUCUCGAUAAAAAUUAGAGUUCCAUGUUUGAUAAAAAAAAAGGGCUCAAGGUGAAACGAUAGAAAUGGACCCCUAUCCACCAUCAUAAAAACAGAAGCUGACAUUUUUUUAAGUCACAUUAUAACAUAUCGGUAGAAGAAAAAAAAGUAUUAGUAAUUAUAAAAAAAUAACUUAUUGUCGCCUUUUUAAAGAUUUCGAUAAAAUCAUGGUCGCAUGUACAUUGCUAUACAAAGGUGUGAAAUCAUGUCGAGAAAUCGC
rnacentral:lncRNA from 1 species